rnacentral:tRNA from 1 species
GCCUCCGUGGUGGAAUUGGUAGACGCGCUGGACUCAAAAUCCAGUGGUAGCAAUACCAUGUCGGUUCGAGUCCGACCGGAGGCACCA